ACUGCAGGUCUUGAGUCAUGGUGGGGUUGCCGGAACAUGUGGUGUAGCGGUGAAAUGCAUAGAUAUCACAUAGAACACCGAUCGCGAAGGCAGGUGACCAACCAUGUACUGACGCUGAUGGACGAAAGCGUGGGUAGCGAACGGGAUUAGAUACCCCGGUAGUCCACGCCGUAAACGAUGGAUACUAGCUGUGGGGACUUCGGUCUCCGUGGCCAAGCGAAAGUGAUAAGUAUCCCACCUGGGGAGUACGUUCGCAAGAAUGAAACUCAAAGGAAUUGACGGGGGCCCGCACAAGCGGUGGAGCAUGUGGUUUAAUUCGAUGAUACGCGAGGAACCUUACCAGGGCUUAAAUGCAGGCUGCAUGGGGUAGAGAUACCCCUUUCUUCGGACCGCCUGCAAGGUGCUGCAUGGUUGUCGUCAGCUCGUGCCGUGAGGUGUCAGGUUAAGUCCUAUAACGAGCGCAACCCCUACCGUUAGUUGCCAGCAUGUCAAGAUGGGGACUCUAACGGGACUGCCGGUGCAAACCGUGAGGAAGGUGGGGACGACGUCAAAUCAUCACGGCCCUUACGUCCUGGGCUACACACGUGCUACAAUGGCCGGUACAGAGGGAAGCCACCCCGCAAGGGGGCGCGGAUCUACAAAACCGGUCACAGUUCGGAUCGGGGUCUGCAACUCGACCCCGUGAAGCUGGAAUCGCUAGUAAUCGGAUAUCAGCCAUGAUCCGGUGAAUACGUUCCCGGGCCUUGUACACACCGCCCGUCAAGCCA
rnacentral:rRNA from 1 species